rnacentral:rRNA from 1 species
UACGGAGGGGGCUAGCGUUGUUCGGAAUUACUGGGCGUAAAGCGCACGUAGGCGGCUUUGUAAGUUAGAGGUGAAAGCCCGGGGCUCAACUCCGGAAUUGCCUUUAAGACUGCAUCGCUAGAAUUGUGGAGAGGUAAGUGGAAUUCCGAGUGUAGAGGUGAAAUUCGUAGAUAUUCGCAAGAACACCAGUGGCGAAGGCGGCUCAGUGGCCCGGUACUGACGCUGAGGUGCGAAAGCGUGGAGAGCAAACAGG